GGGGCUUUAGUGCUAAUCGGUAAAACAUCUCCCUUGCACGGAGAAGUAGAGGGAUCGUAACCCUCAAGCUCCACCA
rnacentral:tRNA from 1 species